rnacentral:misc_RNA from 1 species
GAAAUGCGAUAAGUAAUGUGAAUUGCAGAAUUCAGUGAAUCAUCGAAUCUUUGAACGCACCUUGCGCUCCUUGGUAUUCCGAGGAGCAUGCCUGUUUGAGUGUCAUUAAAUUCUCAACCUCACCAGUUUUGUUAUGAAGCUGUGUGCAGGCUUGGAUGUGGGGGCUUGCAGGUCCACUGUCGUGGUCUGCUCCCCUGAAAUGCAUUAGUGGGUUUGGCCCCUAAUCUAUUGGUGUGAUAAUUAUCUACGCCGUGGAUUGGAUGGCUGUUAUUGACCUGCUUCUAACCGUCCCUUGCUGGACAAUCAUUGACAUUUUUGACCUCAAAUCAGGUAAGACUACCCGCUGAACUUAA